rnacentral:rRNA from 1 species
UACGUAGGGUGCAAGCGUUGUCCGGAAUUAUUGGGCGUAAAGAGCUCGUAGGCGGUCUGUCGCGUCUGCUGUGAAAACUCAGGGCUUAACCCUGAGCUUGCAGUGGGUACGGGCAGACUAGAGUGCGGUAGGGGAGACUGGAAUUCCUGGUGUAGCGGUGAAAUGCGUAGAUAUCUGGAGGAACACCGGUGGCGAAGGCGGCAUCCUGGACCAACACUGACGCUGAGGAGCGAAAGCCAGGGGAGCAAACGGG